UAGCAGAGAGGUUCUCUUUUCUCUUCUUUUUUUGGUUCCUCUUUUUCCUCUUCUUUAUGGUUUUCUGACUCCGCUUUUGGUUGAGAAGGGGAAGGAGCUGGAGAGGAAGGAGCUGAUUCAAGUGAAACGCGAUGAAGGGCGAGCAUUGCCUCUUCAAUUUCUUUUGUGAUAAUCUCAAAA
rnacentral:ribozyme from 13 species